CAGUCGCCGCGGUAAGACAGAGGAUGCAAGCGUUAUCCGAAAUGACUGGGCGUAAAGCGUCUGUAGGUGGCUUUUCAAGUCCGCUGUCAAAUCCCCGGGCUCAACCCUGGACAGGCAGUGGAAACUACCAAGAUGGAGUACGGUAGGGGCAGAGGGAAUUUCCGGUGGAGCGGUGAAAUGCGUUGAGAUCGGAAAGAACACCAACGGCGAAAGCACUUUGCUGGGCCGACACUGACACUGAGAGACGAAAGCUAGGGGAGCAAAUGGGAUUAGAUACCCGCGUAGUCCCUGUCUCUUAUAC
rnacentral:rRNA from 1 species